rnacentral:misc_RNA from 1 species
UCCUGCUUAUCACAGGCAGUCUGGUUAGAGUGCAUCUCCACCUUUCGGCGAAAACUAGCAACUAACCACAGGGGUUGCGCUCGUUGCAGGACUUAACCUAACACCUCACGGCACGAGCUGACGACAGCCAUGCAGCACCUGUGUGACACCCUCGAAGGCUUCCGGGCUUUCGCCCAGCGUGCAGUCACAUGUCAAGUCCAGGUAAGGUUCUUCGCGUUGCAUCGAAUUGAGCCACAUGCUCCACCGCUUGUGCGGGCCCCCGUCAAUUUCUUUGAGUUUUAGCCUUGCGGCCGUACUCCCCAGGCGGUGAACUUAUCGCGUUAGCUACGGCACGGAAGGGGAUAAUUCCUCCCACACCAAGUUCACACCGUUUAGGGCUGGGACUAC